AGUGAAUAUUUUACACUCUACCUCUGGUAACUGUAGAGUGUAUAGACAGAGCUGAGAACUGCUGCCUACACCAAGAACUCUCAAACCUGAGUAUGCAUGAGAAACACCUGCAGGCUUGUUAAGGCCUAAUCACUGGGUCCCAUCCGCAAGGUUCUGAUCACUAGGUGGGGUAAGGAUCAAGAAUUUACAUUUCUAAUAAGUUCCAGGAGAUGUUAAUGCUAUGGCUACCCUUGGAUUAGAUUACACAGAAUGGUGGUGCUCACCAGGCCAAGAAGGGAGGGAGGAACAGGUGCUGUGCACAGUUAGCAAAGGCCUGGUGUGAAGAAUGCUGGGAAAACUUCAAGGAGCUCCUUGCACCCACAGUGCUAGUGACUGUGGAGAUUGUGAGAAACAGGCUGGGAAGGCAGAUUGAGGAGCAGCCUCUGGUGGGAUCCCUUUGACUCUUCCCCACCCCACUACCACCAACCUCUGGAGCAGAAAGGUCCUGGGUCUCACACCUGCACUGACCCACAUCCCUCUCUUGCCCAUGCGAUAUGGCCACACACCCCACCCUAUGCCUCCAGAGCUGUUCAUGAGCAGGGAGCUUCAGGACCCCUGGGAAGGUGGGAUGGGUGCCCCGGCUGUGGGAGAAGGUCUUCACCAUGCCUGCCCUGCCCAUCAGCCGCAUCCAGGUGAGACUGGGAGAGCACAAUAUCGAAGUUCUGGAGGGGAAUGAGCAGUUCAUCAAUGCGGCCAAGAUCAUCCGCCAUCCCCAAUAUGACAAGAAGACUCUGAACAAUGACAUCAUGUUAAUCAAGCUCUCCUCACGUGCAGUCAUCAACGCCCGCGUGUCCACCAUCUCUCUGCCCACCGCCCCUCCAGCCACUGGCACAAAGUGCCUCAUCUCUGGCUGGGGCAACACUGCAAGCUCUGGUGCUGACUACCCAGAUGAGCUACAAUGCCUGGAUGCUCCUGUGCUGAGCCAGGCUAAGUGUGAAGCCUCCUACCCUGGAAAGAUUACCAGCAACAUGUUCUGUGUGGGCUUCCUCGAGGGAGGCAAGGAUUCCUGCCAGGGUGACUCUGGUGGCCCUGUGGUCUGCAAUGGACAGCUUCAAGGAGUUGUCUCCUGGGGCGAUGGCUGUGCCCAGAAGAACAAGCCUGGAGUCUACACCAAGGUCUACAACUAUGUGAACUGGAUUAAGAACACCAUAGCUGCCAACAGCUAAAGCCCCCAGUACCUCUUCAGUAUCUAUACAAAUAAAGUGACCCUGUUCUCAC
rnacentral:sRNA from 1 species